rnacentral:rRNA from 1 species
UGAGGAAUAUUGGGCAAUGGACGAAAGUCUGACCCAGCAACGCCGCGUGGAGGAUGAAUGCCGUAAGGUUGUAAACUCCUUUUGAAGGGGACGAAAAAUUCCGUUAACAUCGGAACUUGACUGUACCCUUAGAAGAAGCCCCGGCUAACUACGUGCCAGCAGCCGCGGUAAUACGUAGGGGGCAAGCGUUGUCCGGAUUUACUGGGUGUAAAGGGCGCGUAGGCGGACUUGUAAGUCAAGGGUGAAAUCUCCCGGCUUAACCGGGAAACUGCCUUUGAUACUGCAAGUCUUGAGUUCGGAAGAGAGUAGCGGAAUUCCAGGUGUAGUGGUGAAAUACGUAGAUAUCUGGAAGAACACCAGUGGCGAAGGCGGCUACUUGGUCCGUAACUGACGCUGAGGC